GUGCUCACUUCAGCAGCACAUGUACGAAAAUUGGAACGAUACAGAGAAGAUUAGCAUGGCCCCUCACAAGGACACGCAAAUUCAUGAAGCCUUCCAUAUUGAA
ensembl:snRNA U6 U6 spliceosomal RNA